rnacentral:misc_RNA from 1 species
GUGAAUCAUCGAAUUUUUGAACGCAAAUUGCACUCUCCGGUUUUCCGGGGGCGUAUGCCUGUUUGAGGGUCAGCCUAAAAAAGAUCGAGAUUGUUGCUGUUUUAUGGUGACUCUCGUCGGAGAUGGGUUAUCUUAAAUCUCGGUUUAAGCGACUUAAAAAUUUUUUUUAUGAUUCUAAGAUUGUUUGUAAGAUUUUUCUUGUAGGUUUAGGGUAUGGAUUGUCUUAUUAGACGUGGUCGUAAUAUCUGAU